rnacentral:rRNA from 1 species
CCUACGGGAGGCAGCAGUAAGGAAUAUUGGUCAAUGGACGCAAGUCUGAACCAGCCAUGCCGCGUGAAGGAUUAAGGUCCUCUGGAUUGUAAACUUCUUUUAUUUGGGACGAAAAAAGGGUCUUUCUAGACCAACUGACGGUACCAGAUGAAUAAGCACCGGCUAACUCCGUGCCAGCAGCCGCGGUAAUACGGAGGGUGCAAGCGUUAUCCGGAUUCACUGGGUUUAAAGGGUGCGUAGGCGGGUAGGUAAGUCAGUGGUGAAAUCUUCGAGCUUAACUCGGAAACUGCCAUUGAUACUAUUUAUCUUGAAUAUUGUGGAGGUAAGCGGAAUAUGUCAUGUAGCGGUGAAAUGCUUAGAUAUGACAUAGAACACCUAUUGCGAAGGCAGCUUACUACGCAUAUAUUGACGCUGAGGCACGAAAGCGUGGGGAUCAAACAGGAUUAGAUACCCUGGUAGUCCACGCCCUAAACUAUGAUUACUCGACAUUUGUGAUACACAAUAAGUAGUNUGAGAGAAGACGAUAAGUAAGUACCACCGUCGGAAGGUACGGUAACCGUCCGAAGGAAGUUAGUAAACGUUAAAGUUAAGUAAGUUAGUUACGGCGUGAGGACGUUAGCCGACGGACGACGACGACGGGGAGGUUAGG